rnacentral:rRNA from 1 species
UUACGGCCAUCUCACUUUGAAACACCGGUUCCUGUACGAUCACCGAAGUUCAGCAACGUCGAGUGUUGUCAGUACCUAGUUGGGUGACCGCUUGGGAAUAG